UCCAGACAGUAGAUGGCACAAGUUUAAAAACAAUAGUCUAACCCAGAGCCAUAGAGCUAAAAAGAGUCGCGACACUCCCAUUGGACUCCGUUGUAGGCUGUUUGCCGCCCACUUCCGGGGUAUGCAGCCUCGCAUAGUUCCAAAAAGCCAUUCUAUGGCGUCGGACAUCAUUCACUUCCAUUGCUGACUCUCGAGUAACUUCUGAGAUCUUGCUGGACCAGCAGUAUCGUUGUUGUGGCCAUCACAGGUUUCAGUGGAGCCCCCCCCCC